rnacentral:rRNA from 1 species
GACGAACGCUGGCGGCGUGCUUAACACAUGCAAGUCGAACGGAAAGGCCCUGCUUGCAGGGUGCUCGAGUGGCGAACGGGUGAGUAACACGUGGGUGAUCUGCCCCUUACUUUGGGAUAAGCCUGGGAAACUGGGUCUAAUACUGGAUAGGACCAUGCUGUAGGUGGUGUGGUGGAAAGAUUAGUUUCGGUAAGGGAUGAGCUCGCGGCCUAUCAGCUUGUUGGUGGGGUAAUGGCCUACCAAGGCGUCGACGGGUAGCCGGCCUGAGAGGGUGGACGGCCACAUUGGGACUGAGAUACGGCCCAGACUCCUACGGGAGGCAGCAGUGGGGAAUAUUGCACAAUGGGCGCAAGCCUGAUGCAGCGACGCCGCGUGGGGGAUGACGGCCUUCGGGUUGUAAACUCCUUUCAGCCAUGACGAAGCCCUUGUGGUGACGGUAGUGGUAGAAGAAGCACCGGCUAACUACGCG